rnacentral:tRNA from 1 species
GGGCCUGUAGCUCAAUGGUUAGAGCAGGGCGCUCAUAACGCCUUGGUUGGGGGUUCAAGUCCCUCCGGGCCUACCAAACCC